rnacentral:rRNA from 1 species
GAUAGGCGUCGACCGGCGCACGGGUGAGUAACGCGUAUCCAACCUGCCCAUCACUUGGGGAUAACCUUGCGAAAGUAAGACUAAUACCCAAUGAUAUCUCUAGAAGACAUCUGAGAGAGAUUAAAGAUUUAUCGGUGAUGGAUGGGGAUGCGUCUGAUUAGCUUGUUGGCGGGGUAACGGCCCACCAAGGCGACGAUCAGUAGGGGUUCUGAGAGGAAGGUCCCCCACAUUGGAACUGAGACACGGUCCAAACUCCUACGGGAGGCAGCAGUGAGGAAUAUUGGUCAAUGGACGAGAGUCUGAACCAGCCAAGUAGCGUGCAGGAUGACGGCCCUAUGGGUUGUAAACUGCUUUUAUAAGGGAAUAAAGUGAGAGUCGUGACUCUUUUUGCAUGUACCUUAUGAAUAAGGACCGGCUAAUUCCGUGCCAGCAGCCGCGGUAAUACGGAAGGUCCGGGCGUUAUCCGGAUUUAUUGGGUUUAAAGGGAGCGUAGGCCGGAGAUUAAGCGUGUUGUGAAAUGUAGACGCUCAACGUCUGCACUGCAGCGCGAACUGGUUUCCUUGAGUACGCACAAAGUGGGCGGAAUUCGUGGUGUAGCGGUGAAAUGCUUAGAUAUCACGAAGAACUCCGAUUGCGAAGGCAGCUCACUGGAGCGCAACUGACGCUGAAGCUCGAAAGUGCGGGUAUCGAACAGGAUUAGAUACCCUGGUAGUCCGCACGGUAAACGAUGGAUGCCCGCUGUUGGUCUGAAUAGGUCAGCGGCCAAGCGAACGCAUUAAGCAUCCCACCUGGGGAGUACGCCGGCAACGGUGCAACUCAAAUGAAUUGACGG